UGCGGAAGGAUCAUUACCGAGUUUUCAGAGCUCCGGCUCGACUCUCCCACCCUUUGUGAACGUACCUCUGUUGCUUUGGCGGCUCCGGCCGCCAAAGGACCUUCAAACUCCAGUCAGUAAACGCAGACGUCUGAUAAACAAGUUAAUAAACUAAAACUUUCAACAACGGAUCUCUUGGUUCUGGCAUCGAUGAAGAACGCAGCGAAAUGCGAUAAGUAAUGUGAAUUGCAGAAUUCAGUGAAUCAUCGAAUCUUUGAACGCACAUUGCGCCCCUUGGUAUUCCGGGGGGCAUGCCUGUUCGAGCGUCAUUACAACCCUCAAGCUCUGCUUGGAAUUGGGCACCGUCCUCACUGCGGACGCGCCUCAAAGACCUCGGCGGUGGCUGUUCAGCCCUCAAGCGUAGUAGAAUACACCUCGCUUUGGAGCGGUUGGCGUCGCCCGCCGGACGAACCUUCUGAACUUUUCUCAAGGUUGACCUCGGGAUCAGGUAGGGAUACCCGCUGAACUUAA
rnacentral:rRNA from 1 species